CACGUAGGGCGCAAGCGUUGUCCGGAAUUAUUGGGCGUAAAGAGCUCGUAGGCGGUCUGUUGCGUCUGCUGUGAAAACCCGGGGCUUAACCCCUGGCUUGCAGUGGAUACGGACAGACUAGAGGUAGGUAGGGGAGACUGGAAUUCCUGGUGUAGCGGUGAAAUGCGCAGAUAUCAGGAGGAACACCGGUGGCGAAGGCGGUGGGCUGGGCCGGAACUGACGCUGAGGAGCGAAAGCGUGGGGAGCGAACAGG
rnacentral:rRNA from 1 species